AUGCUGAGACUGGGGCUUAUCACACCCAGUGUGAGUCCGUCUUCUUCCCCGGUACUUCUGGUCAAAAAGAAGGAUCAGACAUGGAGAUUUUGCGUUGACUUCCGACACCUCAAUGCAAUAACCAUCAAGUCAAGGUAUCCAAUACCAGUGAUCGACGAGCUCUUGGACGAAUUAGCAGGAUCCACUUGGUUCUCGAAGCUGGAUCUCAGGGCAGGCUACCACCAGAUCAGGUUGUUGCUAGAGGACGAGCAUAAAACAGCUUUCAAGACCCACCAUGGCCACUUUCAGUUUCGGGUGCUGCCAUAUGGAGUGACGGGCGGCCCCCCUAUCUUCCAGGGUACCAUG
rnacentral:rRNA from 1 species